rnacentral:rRNA from 1 species
UGGGGAAUUUUGGACAAUGGGGGAAACCCUGAUCCAGCCAUCCCGCGUGUGCGAUGAAGGCCUUCGGGUUGUAAAGCACUUUUGGCAGGAAAGAAACGUCGCGGGUUAAUACCCCGCGAAACUGACGGUACCUGCAGAAUAAGCACCGGCUAACUACGUGCCAGCAGCCGCGGUAAUACGUAGGGUGCAAGCGUUAAUCGGAAUUACUGGGCGUAAAGCGUGCGCAGGCGGUUCGGAAAGAAAGAUGUGAAAUCCCAGAGCUUAACUUUGGAACUGCAUUUUUAACUACCGGGCUAGAGUGUGUCAGAGGGAGGUGGAAUUCCGCGUGUAGCAGUGAAAUGCGUAGAUAUGCGGAGGAACACCGAUGGCGAAGGCAGCCUCCUGGGAUAACACUGACGCUCAUGCACGAAAGCGUGGGGAGCAAACAGGAUUAGAUACCCUGGUAGUCCACGCCCUAAACGAUGUCAACUAGCUGUUGGGGCCUUUCGGGCCUUGGUAGCGCAGCUAACGCGUGAAGUUGACCGCCUGGGGGAGUACGGUCGCAAGA